rnacentral:lncRNA from 1 species
AGUGCACGGCCAGGCCAAUCCGAGCCGUUAGAGGGGCGUGCCCGGUCCCGGGCCCUGCGCGCGCCAGUGGGCGUGUCCCCUGGGCCGGUGGGAGGAGGGGCGGAAACUGGAGCGGGGCGCGCUGACGCAUGACGUCCGGGGGCGGCGGGCCGGGUAGUCGCGGCGCGGAGCGGCUGCUUGUACCCCCCGCGGCGGGGACACAGCGAGCACUUCUCUGCCGGAGCUUUUAUGUGGUGACAGCCUUGGCCCCCGGCAUGGAGGGGAGCGGUUUCUGGAGGGCGCCAUUUGUUCCUCCCGCGAUGGGCGCCGGCGGGGAGGCGUGUCUGCCCGGCCGGGCGCGGGGCUGCCUAGGGGCGGAACGCACUCGCGCCGCGCCCUCCGCCGCCGGCUUGCCGGGUGGCCGCGCCUAGAGCCUCAGGCCGCUCGCCCUCCCCACGCCCCUGCCUUGCAGAGCUCCGGGAGUCCGGGCGGGGCAGCUCCCGCGGGAGGGACAGACUCGGGCUCGUUCCUGGGGUCCGGGGUGCGGCCGCGCUGCCCUUCAGCUCGGGUCAGCCCGAGCAGGACUGGCCUCGGCUGGCGGUGAGCCUGGCAGCCCGGGUGGCGCGCCCACCGCGGCCUGUGCCUCCAGAAGCGAACUACGUGCCAGGGCGGCCGGCGCCGCUGCUGAGGGAACGCGGGGCCCCUUCCUCCCCAUCCCGCCGCAGGCCCGCUGCCAACUCUUCUAGGCUGCCCCUCUCCCACCGCGGUCGGGGGGGCUUCAAACGCCACCAGCUGCGAGGACCCCGCCCACCGCGCCCCACCCGCCCGCUGUCUGGGCCUCCCGGAGGAAAUGCUCGGCUGCGCCCAGCCCGCGCCUCCCAGCCCGGGCUGGGCCACCUUGCCCUUGACUCUCACGGUAACCCCUACCCCAGCCCGCGGCCCCAGCCAUUCUCCAGGCCUGGGCCGUCCUCGGAGACGCCGGUGAAUAACUUCCCACCGCCGCGGAACCGGGCUCAGCAAACCCCCUACUGCCUCGCCCCGUUGCAUUGUGCUUAAUGGACGUUCGAAGGAGUCAGCCACCCUUGCUGUGUUCUGAGAGGAGCCUGGAGAAUGAAGGAGCCCGGGCACUCACCCUCAGUGGACCCUCGCAGUGGGAGGGGGGUGUCAUUCUUCUCUCAGAAUUAAGGUUAAUAGCCGAGUUCGAGUUCUCACCAAAUUAAUUUGGGGUUGGAGCUCAGUAAGACUGGUUUUCAGGUAACCGACGAGGGACCGAAACGGCCAUUCUGGGUUGCGUGUUACGGUGAACAGCAAACUGCAUGGAUGUUUGAGCACCCUCAGUAUCUGUAACUAAAACCCUGAAAUGCGGUCUCGCUGAUUGAGUUGCUACCCUCUGGGGAGACUAAAGGUGCUGGACUGGGUCUGGUCCCUUUAGGAGGGUCUGUGCUUGGUAGAAAGUAAUCGUGUUUCUUCCAGGCAGAUUGUGUUGAUGACAUUUAAUAAGAGACGUGUGUCCUGACCAAGUAAUGAUUCGGAAUGUUCCUCUAUUCCCACCACAUGUCACAAUUAGUCACUUCUUAAGGAAGGAGUGGUCCUACACCAGCUUAUCAGCCACCCAUACCCUCCUGGCCCCUUUCCAGCCAGCAGAAUUCUCCCCAAUCUUCAAGGUGCCACGUCUCCCCACUGGGUCACCCCAGCCGGCAUACACAAUGGUAGGCCGUCUAGAGUCUGCACUAUUCUAGUAUUAGGCUACUACAGCCAUGAACAAAACAGGCCUGCCUUGGGUGAGGGGAUGCCCUACGUGGUCAAGGGUCCUCUGCAUUGAUGCACCCCCCUAAGAGUUUUCCAAGAAUGUGGGUCCCAAAGAAUUUUGACUGUGCUCUGUGGCAUUCUGUAUAGAAAACUGAGCUCCUUGGCUGGUUUCUCAAAAAUCCACUCAUUUGAUGAUUGUCGUGGUGUUCACUGACUUUAUCCCAAACCUACAUGGAAGGGUCUUCCGGACAGACAGCUCUUCCCCAAAGAAAAUCUCCUCUUAGCUAAGAGUCCAUGUUUUCUUUUCUAAGUAAGAUUUUGACAGAGAUGGCAUAUGUAUAUGUGAGGGCUGGGUCGUCUCGUUUCAAAUGGAAGCAACAGAAAAGCAGAGCAGGUGUGUCUGGGGCGUAUAGAGACUGAAGGCUGAAAGGGUGGUUGAGUUUCUGGGUAAAGUUGGU